UUCCGGUUGAUCCCGCCGGACCUGACUGCUAUCGGAUUGAUACUAAGCCAUGCGAGUCAUUGUAGCAAUACAAGGCAUACGGCUCAGUAACGCGUAGUCAACCUAACCUAUGGACGGGAAUAACCUCGGGAAACUGAGAAUAAUGCCCGAUAGAACAUUAUACCUGGAAUGGUUUAUGUUCCAAAUGAUUUAUCGCCGUAGGAUGGGACUGCGGCCUAUCAGUUUGUUGGUGAGGUAAUGGCCCACCAAGACUAUUACAGGUACGGGCUCUGAGAGGAGUAGCCCGGAGAUGGGUACUGAGACACGGACCCAGGCCCUAUGGGGCGCAGCAGGCGAGAAAACUUUGCAAUGUGCGAGAGCACGACAAGGUUAAUCCGAGUGAUUUCUGCUAAAGAAAUCUUUUGUUAGUCUUAGAAACACUAACGAAUAAGGGGUGGGCAAGUUCUGGUGUCAGCCGCCGCGGUAAAACCAGCACCUCAAGUGGUCAGGAUGAUUAUUGGGCCUAAAGCAUCCGUAGCCGGCUCUGUAAGUUUUCGGUUAAAUCUGUACGCUCAACGUACAGGCUGCCGGGAAUACUGCAUAGCUAGGGAGUGGGAGGAGUAGACGGUACUCGGUAGGAAGUGGUAAAAUGCUUUGAUCUAUCGAUGACCACCUGUGGCGAAGGCGGUCUACUAGAACACGUCCGACGGUGAGGGAUGAAAGCUGGGGGAGCAAACCGGAUUAGAUACCCGGGUAGUCCCAGCUGUAAACUAUGCAAACUCAGUGAUGCAUUGGCUUGUGGCCAAUGCAGUGCUGCAGGGAAGCCGUUAAGUUUGCCGCCUGGGAAGUACGUACGCAAGUAUGAAACUUAAAGGAAUUGGCGGGGGAGCACCACAAGGGGUGAAGCCUGCGGUUCAAUUGGAAUCAACGCCGGA
rnacentral:rRNA from 1 species